GCGGGGGUGGCCGAGCGGCCUAAGGCGGCGGACUUAAGAUCCGCUCUCCGUAGGGAGGUCCUGGGUUCGAAUCCCAGUCCCCGCA
rnacentral:tRNA from 1 species